ACCUGCCUGCUUGGACUGGGCAGCUCUUGCUGCAGGGACACUAACUGCUCUGCUCUGCUCUUUAACCCAGAUGGAGAACCCCAGCUGGCCUCCACCGUCAUAGACACCAUCAUGGCUGGCCUGCCAGGACCACGGGGAGCCCCGGGCCCCAUUGGGCCACCAGGGCCACCAGGUGCAUCAGGACCCAAAGGGCCACCAGGACCUAUCGGAGUCCCUGGAUCACAAGGCUUACCGGGCUCUCCAGGACAACCCGGGCCAAAAGGCUCCAAAGGAGACCGAGGAGAGAGAGUAAGGUUUUACAUACACAGAGAUUCCCAGCAACAUCUGGGGUGAUGCCUCAGAAAUUAUAUACAGCAUAGGUCUUUCAAAUUCUGUGGGACUACAGCCAUGAACAAUUUUAAAUGUAGAGUUUCUAAGUCUUCUGCAAGAACCAAGAUUGAGGGUUUACUGUACAGAUAAAGGGUUGAAUUGCUUGCAAAGUCUGGUGUUCCCUAAAGAGGUUCAGGUAGCAAAUACAAGGUGUAUGAAGGCUUGUGGAGACCAACUUUCUUCUGCCAACCAAAGCUCUUUAGCAUGGAGUAUUUUGAGUGGUCUAACUGAACUCUUCCUUCUGUGGCAAUAAGGCAGUAAAAGCUCAUCAGACUUUUCCUGAACCAAAGCCAUUCCCCAGGUGAAAUUAUGUUCUUAAUAUAUUUGGAAUAUCAAAAUCAUGUUCUUAAUAUGUUUAUGUGCUAUACCCCAGUCCUUGAUGGGUGGUCAAGUGCUAAUAACUAAGCAUAGAAAGAGGGGCUGUUUGAAUGUUAUUUCCAAACUGGUGAAGUUUAGGAAAAAAACAAAGAAAAAUCUUAACAAGGGUAUCAGAUUCUCAGUCCAGCAUUAAGCACCAGGAAGGGUUUCAAAGUGGCAUUUGGGCCUUCAGCUGCUUCUGUUCAGCUUACUCUCCAAAAGGCCAUGGUCUUUGAAAUCUCCUCUGAGAGACAUUAGGAGCACAAAAUCAUUUGAGAAUGUCGUAUGUGGUGGAGGAUCAUUCAGCAAUUAGAUCUGCA
rnacentral:lncRNA from 1 species